rnacentral:rRNA from 1 species
GACGAACGCUGGCGGCGUGCUUAACACAUGCAAGUCGAACGGAAAGGCCCUGCUUUUGUGGGGUGCUCGAGUGGCGAACGGGUGAGUAACACGUGAGUAACCUGCCCUUGACUUUGGGAUAACUUCAGGAAACUGGGGCUAAUACCGGAUAGGAGCUCCUGCUGCAUGGUGGGGGUUGGAAAGUUUCGGCGGUUGGGGAUGGACUCGCGGCUUAUCAGCUUGUUGGUGGGGUAGUGGCUUACCAAGGCUUUGACGGGUAGCCGGCCUGAGAGGGUGACCGGCCACAAUGGGACUGAGAUACGGCCCAGACUCCUACGGGAGGCAGCAGUGGGGAAUAUUGCACAAUGGGCGGAAGCCUGAUGCAGCAACGCAGCGUGCGGGAUGACGGCCUUCGGGUUGUAAACCGAUUUCGCCUGUGACGAAGCGUGAGUGACGGUAAUGGGUAAAGAAGCACCGGCUAACUACGUG